UUUUCGGCAAUGGGGGGAACCCUGACCGAGCAACGCCGCGUGAAGUAAGAAGGAAUUCGGUCUGUAAACUUCUGUUCUAAAGCAAGAAAGCCGGAUGGAGGAAAUGACAUCCGAGUGACGGUACUUUAUGAGAAAGCCACGGCUAACUACGUGCCGGCAGCCGCGGCAAUACGUAGGUGGCAAGCGUUAUCCGGAAUUAUUGGGCGUAAAGAGGGAGCAGGCGGCAGCAAAGGUCUGUGGUGAAAGACUGAAGCUUAACUUCAGUAAGCCAUAGAAACCGGGCAGCUAGAGUGCAGGAGAGGAUCGUGGAAUUCCAUGUGUAGCGGUGAAAUGCGUAGAUAUAUGGAGGAACACCAGUGGCGAAGGCGACGAUCUGGCCUGCAACUGACGCUCAGUCCCGAAAGCGUGGGGAGCAAAU
rnacentral:rRNA from 1 species